rnacentral:rRNA from 1 species
UACGAAGGGGGCUAGCGUUGCUCGGAUUUACUGGGCGUAAAGGGCGCGUAGGCGGACGAUCAAGUUGGGGGUGAAAUCCCGGGGCUUAACCUCGGAACUGCCUCCAAAACUGAUCAUCUAGAGUUUGGGAGAGGUGUGUGGAACUCCGAGUGUAGAGGUGAAAUUCGUAGAUAUUCGGAAGAACACCAGUGGCGAAGGCGACACACUGGCCCAAUACUGACGCUGAGGCGCGAAAGCGUGGGGAGCAAACAGG